rnacentral:rRNA from 1 species
UACGGGGGGGAGCAAGCGUUGUUCGGAUUUACUGGGCGUAAAGGGCGCGUAGGCGGCCAGCACAAGUCAGUUGUGAAAUCUCCGAGCUUAACUCGGAAAGGUCAACUGAUACUGUGCGGCUAGAGUGCGGAAGGGGCAACUGGAAUUCUUGGUGUAGCGGUGAAAUGCGUAGAUAUCAAGAGGAACACCUGCGGCGAAGGCGGGUUGCUGGGCCGACACGUGACGCUGAUGCACGAAAGCGUGGGGAGCAAACAGG